rfam:Tumebacillus sp. AR23208, complete genome.
AAGUCCUUUAAACUGAUCCUGUGAGGUCGGUAAGGAGUCGGCGCAGAGGCCGGAUGCUUGCGAGCAUCUCCGGUACUCUGUAAACAACUGUGCACGUAUAAGCAGGAGGCUUCUUCCAUCCAGGGAAGAAGCCUUUUUUUGU